AAACUGUGCCUUAGGUGUGUCUUGACUGUAUCAAACGAUUCAGCUGCAUCUAGAUGCAGGGUAGUUACCCUUCCCACGACGUGCAUGUGUCGGUAGGAGCACCGCGACGUUAAUCAACGAUAACGACAUCUGAUUGGAUGAAGUGGCGAUGACGCCGAGCUUGGUUGGUAAGGUAUUGGCUUACCAAGGCUAUUACAGGUGACGGGGAAUUAGGGUUUGAUUCCGGAGAGGGAGCCUGAGAGACGGCUACCACAUCUAAGGGUGGCAGCAGGCGCGCAAAUUACUCAGUCCCGACACGGGGAGGUAGUGAACAAAAAUAGUGGCAUAAAGCAUAUUGUUUUAUGACUGCAAUGAGUGAAAAUUACAUCGUUUCACGAGUAACAAUUGGAGGGCAAGUCUGGUGCCAGCAGCCGCGGUAAUUCCAGCUCCAAU
rnacentral:ncRNA from 1 species